rnacentral:rRNA from 1 species
AGAGUUUGAUCCUGGAUUAGAUUGAACGCGGGCGGCAGGCCUAACACAUGCAAGUCGAGCGGUAACAGGAAUUAGCUUGCUAAUUUGCUGACGAGCGGCGGACGGGUGAGUAAUGCCUGGGAAUAUGCCUUGAUGUGGGGGAUAACUAUUGGAAACGAUAGCUAAUACCGCAUAAUGUCCCGGUUUAUAAUGAACUGGGACCAAAGAGGGGGACCUUCGGACCUCUCGCGUCAAGAUUAGCCCAGGUGGGAUUAGCUAGUUGGUGGGGUAAUGGCUCACCAAGGCGACGAUCCCUAGCUGGUUUGAGAGGAUGAUCAGCCACACUGGAACUGAGACACGGUCCAGACUCCUACGGGAGGCAGCAGUGGGGAAUAUUGCACAAUGGGGGAAACCCUGAUGCAGCCAUGCCGCGUGUAUGAAGAAGGCCUUCGGGUUGUAAAGUACUUUCAGUUGUGAGGAAGGCGGUAACGUUAAUAGCGUUGCCGUUUGACGUUAGCAACAGAAGAAGCACCGGCUAACCCCGUGCCAGCAGCCGCGGUAAUAC